rnacentral:rRNA from 1 species
AACGAGCGUUAGCGGCGCGCCUAACACAUGCAAGUCGCACGAGAAAGGGCUUCGGCCCUGGUAAAGUGGCGCACGGGUGAGUAACACGUGGGUAACCUUCCCUCGAGCGGGGAAUAACAUUCCGAAAGGAGUGCUAAUACCGCAUAAGACCACGGCUUCGAAAGGAGCUGAGGUAAAAGCUGGCCUCUUCAUGAAAGCUAGCACUCGAGGAUGGGCCCGCGGCCCAUCAGCUUGUUGGUAGGGUAACGGCCUACCAAGGCUAAGACGGGUAACUGGUCUGAGAGGAUGAUCAGUCACACUGGAACUGAGACACGGUCCAGACUCCUACGGGAGGCAGCAGUGGGGAAUCUUGCGCAAUGGACGAAAGUCUGACGCAGCGACGCCGCGUGGGUGAUGAAGGCCUUCGGGUUGUAAAGCCCUGUGGGGAGAGACGAAUAAGUCUUGGCUAAUAUCCAAGAUGAUGACGGUAUCUCCUUAGCAAGCACCGGCUAACUCUGUGCCAGCCGCCGCUGUAACAC